rnacentral:rRNA from 1 species
GUGGGGAAUUUUGGACAAUGGGGGCAACCCUGAUCCAGCCAUCCCGCGUGUGCGAUGAAGGCCUUCGGGUUGUAAAGCACUUUUGGCAGGGAAGAAACGGCGCGGGCGAAUAACCCGCGCAACUGACGGUACCUGCAGAAUAAGCACCGGCUAACUACGUGCCAGCAGCCGCGGUAAUACGUAGGGUGCAAGCGUUAAUCGGAAUUACUGGGCGUAACGCGUGCGCAGGCGGUUCGGAAAGAGAGGUGUGAAAUCCCAGGGCUUAACCUUGGAACUGCACUUCUAACUACCGGGCUAGAGUACGUCAGAGGGGGGUAGAAUUCCACGUGUAGCAGUGAAAUGCGUAGAGAUGUGGAGGAAUACCGAUGGCGAAGGCAGCCCCCUGGGAUGAUACUGACGCUCAUGCACGAAAGCGUGGGGAGCAAAC